rnacentral:lncRNA from 1 species
GUAUUCAAAAGUAAAGAAAUUAAACCAUUGAUGUUGCGAUUAUGUGCUGAAGUAAGUUUGCCUGCCUAGAAAAAAUCUUGGAGCUGUGACAAGACCUGUCUGACAGGUACAGCUAGACACGAGGCAAGAAUCUGAUCAGGGUAUGCGUUGUGGCCUUGUCAAGGUGGUAUACAGAGCACUAAAAUACGCAUAUUUUUGGAAGAUUAUGGAGGGUAAACAAGUGGGGCUCCACGUCGCUCGGGUGGUGGCGCGCCUUAGGAAGCGUUGCCUUCCAGGUGAGCCCGUAGCUCGGUGUCGCGUCGGCUAGUCCAAGUACGACAAACCUAGGGUGAGAAGGCAACAGGAAGUGACAGGGUACGGCGUGACAAGCACGAUGCAGGCAUGCCUUAAUAACGAUGACCGUUGCAGUUUGAGUUGGUGCAACAUUUUUCGGAUUUCCUCGGCCGUCGGUUAUGCAACAUCGAUGCGCGAACGCACGGCCACUUGGUUUCUUUGCUGGCUUAUCGCAGUAUUGGCAGACCUGCGAUGGCGUAACAACCAUGGCUAAAUUAAUAUUUAUUAAGGGUGCAUGGGUCUUUUGUCAUGCGUUCAUGCUUCCCCGAGGAGCGUCUGGGCUGAUUGUAGAGUGGACUGGUCAGUAGCCCUCUGCACCAACCGAAAACUGACUGGUGACGUGACUGCGAUGCUUCCGCAACCAGCGCGCAACCAGUGAAUGCACCCGCCCACGCCACAAUACGAGGCAUCAUAUGUUGUAUAACAGCAAAAGCAACAUGGCCGACAAGAGCUUCUUCGCGUUAACCGCUG